CAAAUAAACCCCCUUUAUAAAAACCCAUCCAUUUCUGAUAUUUUGCAUAACAGCACCAUUAGCAAACUGCAACAGGAAUCAAAGUGGGGUGAGGUAUUAGUGCCCCCUCAGCUCUUUUCUCUAUGGUGUUGGUUUUUAAAGUGUGGUUCCCAAUAUCAGCAUCACUUGGAAUGUCUUAAAAAUCAAAUUCUCAGGCUUCAUCUCAAACCUACUAAAUCAGAAUGCUGAGUGGGACCCAGGAAGCUCUCCAGGUUUUGGAUGCAUCUAAUCUUUUAAGAACUACUGCUGUAGGAUAUCCAGAGCCAUCCAGAAGACCUCUUGGCAAGAAGACAUGGCUUGAUGUUCCAAGGAGCUGUCACCCGGACCCCUCUGAGAUCGGACGGUUUUGACUGUGAGAAUUGGCAGCUUGAAACCAUGGGAAAGAAGCUCCAAAUCAGCAUCCAUACCUGGGAAAUGCCACCCCAUUGUUCCGAUGACUGAAUAUGGGCCACAAUGAGAAAAAUGAAACCAGACUCUCCUGGUAUCUGCUAUGAAUCAACACUCAAGGCCUCUUAUUUUUCUGGAAAUGGAGAUCGAUGUUGUGGGUAGUCUUGUACCACAGGGAUCAAGAGAAUUUUGCAGUUCAUCCUGCAGUCUAAAGAUGAGAAAUUUGAGAAUCUAAAGUUUGGGCAAAAUAUCAGAUGGUUGCUGCUCCACUUUCAUGAGUUGAUAAAUUCUUAUGCCGUGAAUAUACAUGGGAAUUUACUGCCAACAACCACAAUAUUUUUCCAGCGAGAUACUGUUUUCCCCCACUUGCUCAAAUGAGUCAGAGACUUUCAGAAGCUUAAAAAGGGAGAAGUGGGUCGUCGUGAGGAUCUGAGCAUAUGAAGGAAGAGCAGACUGACUCAGUGGGCCAUGCUUUACAUGUAAUUCAACACUGUCUUCAGAAUCUAGUGCCUUAACUUGGAAGGCAUGAGUGAAUUCUACACAGAUACACAGAGAUGCUUAAGAAACAGCACAGAGAAGGCUCUGGGAACAUCAGUUAAAGUUGUAUAGCUACUUGCAAUGUAUUAUUUUAACUCUCUGAGUGUUUCCAUAAUAUGCAUUGAUCUAAUAUUCAAUAUUCAGAGAAGGUUGUUUCUUCUCUGUGUCCUUGGCUGGUUCUUCUACAUCUUCCAGAAUUCUAUGCUUUGCAGGGCCCAGGACUUACUUCAGUCUAUCUGCAUUCACAAACUGAGCUAUCAUAUCCUGAAUUAGUGACAUUUGGAAGCUGGUGACUCCCAAAGUUAUACCUUCAACCUAACCUUUCCCUCAAACUCUAACCUCAUAUCUAAUGGCCUUGACAUUGCCUUUUGAUAUCUAAUAGACUUCUUAAACUCAAUUGUCCAAAAUGGACAGAUCUCCUAAUCACCAACCUUCCAUUAACCCCCUUUUUCUGUAACUUAAUAAAGUCUGUCUUUCUGUUUGCUCAGGCUAAAGAACUUUCGAGUAAUCCUUGACUCCUCUCUUUCUCUCAUUCUCCACAACCAAAUCAUCAUCAAAUCCUGUUGGUUCUAUCUCCAAAAUAUAGCUGGAAGUCAGCUACUUCUUACCACGUAUCCCUCAGUCAUCCUGGUCCAAGCCACUGCCUUCUCCUACCACCCUUGGCCCUACAGUCUAUUCUCAACACAGCAAUCAGAGUAAUCCUUUUAAAUGAGAUUUAAAAAGAUUAUGUCCUUUUGUUCCUUACAACCCCCCAGUGGCUUCCCUAUCAAUUGGAACAUGUCGGGAUUGAAUCACGUACUCCACAAAAGAACUGUUCAAGUCUGACUCUGUGUUCCUGUGGGUGUGAAACCCAUUUGUUAAUCGUAUCUUUGAAUAUGUUACGGUGAGUAUGGUGAAUGUUCACUCAUUUGUGAAUAGGAACUUUGAAGACCCUAUUUAGGUGAGGCCAAACUGAAUCAGGGUAGGCCUUAAACCCCAUGACUGGAGGCCUUAUAAGGAGAGGACAUAUGGGCAGUCAGAGAAAUCCACAAGAGAAGACAAAGGGCAGAGAUUGCCAUGUGUCCAAGGACAGCCAAAAGCAUGACCUU